ACUACCUCCUCGGCCAGGGCACGGAGAUGCAGAAGCCAGUCCUCAGCCUGUUCCAGGGCGGCGGGGAGUUCACUGUGGCCAAGCUUCAAGGCCAGAGCGGCUUCUUUGAUCUGGCUCAGGUGACGGGUGCGGAGCCGGAGCAGGUACUGAUCAAGGCUCCAGCACCUCUGGGCUCAGCACCGGCCAGACUGCUGGCCAAGCGUGGCUGGGAGACGUGCUUCUGCUCACCACCACACACGAACGCUCCUGAGGAGACAGCCUUGGCUGAGCCAGGAGAGGCAUCGGAAGGUGCCAAGGACCCCCUACCUGCAGUCUGCAAGGAGCUCAUCUGUCAACUGAGCCACCAGGGCGUCCACAUCCUCAGAGGAGCACUGUGCCUUCAGAGCCAAGUGGACCUGCUCCAGGGCAAGGUCCUGGGCUGGAAGGCCAACCUCAAAAUACCUACCAGCCCAAAGCCGUCUCAGUCUCCUGAGUAGCCCUCUCCAUAGUCAGGGCAUGUGGUGUGUGUCCCACCCUGGGGGACUAAGCCUAGGGAGAAAACUCAGUCCCUGCUGUCGGGGAACUGUGGUCUUCUGGUAGAGUAAUGAGGAGCCCAGAGAGCAGCAGGACAGUGACUGUGUAGUCUCAACUCCAAGUUCCCCCGCUGGUGUUAGCUGCCCACCACCAGCAGCUGCCAAUGUCAGGGACACGCCCCUUCCUUGCCUUUCUGCCUCCCUUCCUACUGUGCUCAUCCCUAGGUCUCUCCAGCCCUUCCUCCCCUGUGCUGCCCCUCAUCCCCACCAUGUAGCCACACUCACUUUCCCCACUUGGGUGAUGCUCCCUGGAAGGGAGCCUGGAGCCACUGCCUGACCCAGCCAGCGGCUUCCCAGCAUCCUUCACCCCUCCCUUGGCCUUCACAUCCGUGCCCUCUCGAGAUUCUCCUGCACGCCCUGAGGAAACAGAAGGCAGCCUCAAAGGGCAGAGGGUUUCCCAGAAGCCCCUCCUCACCCCCACACGGAAUAUCCCUCACAUCCGAACGCUCCGCCCCUCUCCCCAGGUUCCCAGCUUUGGACCCCAAGACAAAUGUACCAAGGCCUGGCAGCCUGAGUUCCACCAGCUCCCAAGAAAGCCAUUGGCCUCCCAGGACCGUCUCACCCUCCCCUGAGUCCUUGCCAUGAUAUGCUAGAUACGGUCCUCGGUCCUCAUCUCUCACUUCCUCCCAUUGUCCCUAUGGCAUCCUCUUGACGCUCCUUAGUUGGUCUUUCCACCAUACUCCUCACCUCUCCCUCAGCAGCCAUGAAGGCCACCUGCAUCUAAGUCUGGAGUCAUAGCUUCUGGCUUCUAGCUGCUGGCUGGAAGUUUCUGGCACAACUAGAGAACACCAGGCGUAUCCUGACAGUUCCGUUAUCUCUCAACCCUCCAUCUUUCCGUCAUCUCCAACAUCCACCUCGGGCAUCCCCAGCGCCCAUCUCUACACGUCGGCAUGCUGCACAUCCUUCUGGCAGGGCUAGAGACCAGGCACCGUGUCUGGACAGGCUUCCACUCACCAGCCGGUCGGCGAUCCUGAGGAGUUGGUUUUGGGUCUCAAUUCGAUGGCUGAUGUCUUCCCAGUAUGAGGACAGCACCACCACGGGCUUCACGUUGCCCCAAGGUUCAUGAUAGUUGCUAGGAACUGCCAGAGGAUAUCCAGCGAACAGUCGCAUGUAGCUGCUGGUCAUGGCCUGUCAUGCUCCAGUGUCACUGGAAAUAAGUAUGUGUAUUCUCUUAUAACUCUCGGGAUGUGGCUUGGACAUCCUGGAUUUAAUGUGUCCCGGGAUAAUUCUUCAUCCGUUGUGGCCCGGAGAAUCCAGGUGGAACAGCUCUGGAAGGCUCACAGAGAGGAAUGUGAAGCGCGAAUAAGCCGCAUCUAUGGUGGUCUGGAGGUAAAAGCACGGAUGGAGAACUGAAGCCAGAGACCUAAAGAGGGCAAGGUCCUGAGCUGGCCUUCAGAUGUCUGCAGCCAGGUCUCGGCCCCCAAGGCUAGCGGCAAGGGUCGGUGUGGCAGAGAGUUCCUCAUGAAGAUUUCCUUAUCUACAGGAACUGAGCCGGGCCCUGGCAUAGGAGAGUUCUCAGCUGGAAGAGUGACAUAGGCAGGCACAGCUGUGGUCCCGAGUCUACUUUAAGCUCCUCCCAAAUGAUGGUUUAGCAGGAGGAGCCUGUUAUCUUGGACUAAAUGAAAGCAGAGACAGAGAUGGGACCCCUGUGUCCUUGCCAGGGACUGGCUUUUAACCUGGUAGUCAGUCAGAGAGAGUUAUCUACCAGUCCCACUAGCAAGCUAGCCACCUGCUGGCGGUGGCUGGAACUGCACAGGCCUCCUUGUUAGUUUGUAGAUUCACACUCAUUUAGGAGCCAUAAGCAGACAUCACCGUGGGCAUUGACUCGACCCUGCUGACAUCUUAGGCCAGUGCUUCCCAACUUGAGAACAGGUCACAAGUCCCCGAUGUUGAGGUUCACCCCAGGUUCUCGCCCCUGUGUCUGCAGACAGCUCAUAAAGUCAAGGGCAGGGAGAGCAAAGAAGCCACCAACACAAAGUCGCUAUUUAGUCCUGGUCGUCUUUCUGCCAAAACACACGUGUUUCGCUGUGUUUUCCCUGAGCCUGGAGAGUUGGGUCCAAGGAAACCCCAAGUCCCCAAUGAACACGCCUAGCUUUUUACUGUGAGAGUGAAGCCCGCCCGGUUCCCUCACCUGGAAGAACUAACUGGAAGGGACAGAACAGGCUGCCAGCCGCAAGUCACAGCUCAGCAGGCGGUCCCUGGGGACACGCGUGCACCCUAGAGAAGCCAAGCCAUUGCCUUCAGCCAGCCUUGCCAGCUCCCAAGGCUCGGCAGAGCCCCAAGCCCACGGCUCUGGCUGCCUGACACCCUCCUGGGCCAGGCAAGAGGGAAACGGGGAGAGUGCUGGGAAAUUCACUGUCAUCCAAAAUCCAAAGACAACUUUGGUUCUCCCGGUGCCGUUCUGUAGCACACUGUCCAUAUGGGUGCCAGCGUCAAAGAUGCCUGCAAGUAUCACAGGUCCCAUGAGCUUACCGCCUUUCAAAAGAACGGCCACACCUAAGAGGGCACACUCCUUAAAAAAAAAUAAUAAUAAUAACAAAGUCUUCCCUUAAUACAUUGGUGCACAGGGUCCAAAGAAUACUUCAGUGUGCCCAGGCAAACUGCGGGCAGAAGUGCUUAAGAGGUUAGUGUUAGGUUUUGUCCUUACUGGGGACAAAAACAAGAUCACAAAAACAAAACUCCAGGCUGAACCAAAUCAUCAGGGAGCUCAAGGCAGAAAGAAGUGGUUUUGAUUGGUUGGUUUGCUGUUGUUGUUGUUGUUGUUGUUGUUGUUGUUGUUGAUGUUGUCGUCAUCGUUAUUUUGAGAUACAGUCUCAAUGAGUUAGCCCCGUGGGUCUUUUACUCACUAUAUAACCAGGAGGACCUCACACUUCUGAUCCCUUUGCCUCUACCAUGCAAGUGCUGGGCUACCAGACGCAUACUACUACACUCUGUUUGUAUGGUGCUGGAAGUGGAACCCAGGGCUUCUGCGCGCUGGGCAAGCACUCCACCAACAUACAGUACAGUUUGUGUUGUGUUUUGGGAGAAACAAGAAAACAAGGUAGUGUACCUUCCCAGACUAGGGAAAGAAACGUAGCCAGAGGCAAAGGAAGUGACAACCUUCAGACCAGACAGCUGCGUCCACCUGAGAAAGGGACCCAUCUCUACAGGAGGGGACCUCAGAGAACCCAGGAAGUCCCAAAGAAUAACCAAAUUUGAUCAAUAAAUUUAGCUCUGUUGUCAUAUU
rnacentral:lncRNA from 1 species